UACGUAGGGUGCGAGCGUUGUCCGGAUUUAUUGGGCGUAAAGAGCUCGUAGGCGGUUUGUCGCGUCGGCCGUGAAAUCUCCACGCUUAACGUGGAGCGUGCGGUCGAUACGGGCAGACUUGAGUUCGGUAGGGGAGACUGGAAUUCCUGGUGUAGCGGUGAAAUGCGCAGAUAUCAGGAGGAACACCAGUGGCGAAGGCGCCGCUCUGGGCCGAGACUGACGCUGAAGAGCGAAAGCGUGGGUAGCAAACAGG
rnacentral:rRNA from 1 species